rnacentral:rRNA from 1 species
GUAAUGUCUGGGAAACUGCCUGAUGGAGGGGGAUAACUACUGGAAACGGUGGCUAAUACCGCAUAACGUCGCAAGACCAAAGAGGGGGACCUUCGGGCCUCUUGCCAUCAGAUGUGCCCAGAUGGGAUUAGCUAGUUGGUGAGGUAACGGCUCACCAAGGCGACGAUCCCUAGCUGGUCUGAGAGGAUGACCAGCCACACUGGAACUGAGACACGGUCCAGACUCCUACGGGAGGCAGCAGUGGGGAAUAUUGCACAAUGGGCGCAAGCCUGAUGCAGCCAUGCCGCGUGUAUGAAGAAGGCCUUCGGGUUGUAAAGUACUUUCAGCGGGGAGGAAGGUGUUGUGGUUAAUAACCGCAGCAAUUGACGUUACCCGCAGAAGAAGCACCGGCUAACUCCGUGCCAGCAGCCGCGGUAAUACGGAGGGUGCAAGCGUUAAUCGGAAUUACUGGGCGUAAAGCGCACGCAGGCGGUCUGUCAAGUCGGAUGUGAAAUCCCCGGGCUCAACCUGGGAACUGCAUUCGAAACUGGCAGGCUUGAGUCUUGUAGAGGGGGGUAGAAUUCCAGGUGUAGCGGUGAAAUGCGUAGAGAUCUGGAGGAAUACC